GCCUUUGCCUCCAAUUUCUAGGUUAUUUUCUUGGUUGCUUUUCUCUUUGAGCCGUGUUUUCCCUUCACUUUUGCCCUCAUCUUAACUUUUUUUUUUUUUUUGGUUCAUGUCAUCAUGGAGUUUGCCUGGCUGCAGAACUGUCACAGCGCUCCCUCUUGUGGCUGCAACAAGGAAGCAGAACUGUCACAGCGCUCCCUCUUGUGGCUGCAACAUGGAAAGCAAGCAAGCAAACUGGCCCUUGCUUCAGGAGAGAGAAGGAGUAUGCAAGGAUCUUGUGAAGGCUUUGGAGCCCCGUUCUGAUCUCAUGAGAGACUUGUGCAGCUCAUCCAAGAUGCUCUGAUUCAGGAUGACCAAGGUCAAGUCCUACCUGCAGGUAACAGUUACACAGCAGCACCAGAAGCAGAGGUAGGUGGGUAGGUGGGUGGGUGGGUGGGACUAAUUUAUGAUCUGACUCGGGAGGAUAUAAAAUUGAGGAAACCCCUCAUACCACAGGCUCAAGAAUGCCUAAGGGAGGGACUUUAAGCUCUGUUCAUAGGAGACUUCCUACCCAAUGUAGGAAGUUGAAGUUGGGGACCCCGAGGAGAGAUAAAUGGAUCAACCUGCUCUACUCAGGUGUCUUAACUUUGAUGGAGAUUUACCUGUCCUGAUUCCAUGUAUAAUUCUAUCUGAAAGGUGGCCACAUGUAAAGGAAGUUGGAGAAAGACAUUAACCUAGAGUCAAAGCCUCAGACCUUUGAAGCUGCUCAGACCCCCUGAGAGCAGGCGUGCCCUGGGCUGUAUCUAUGCAAGCAGAGUGCCCAUGCUUCCCCUUUGGUUCCCUCUGUUCUUUAAGCCUGCUAUCUCGAUUUUUGUUUCAGAUCCAUUUGAAAUUUGAUUGAGAACUUUGAAGCUUUCUUUGCAAAAAUGCACACAGGCACAUUCAGUUUCAGUGGAGGUCCUGGCCUGGGAGACCCACCUGGAUACUUGGUGAUUGCUCCUGCCUCUAUUAUUGCUGCCAUUAUUAUUAUUGUUGUUGUUGUUAUUUUAACUCUGCAGUAGUCCUGACAGUGUUCUUUCAACACUUCUCAGCUAGACUCUAAACUGUUCGAGGGCAGUGCUGGGAUCUCAGCAGUGGGAGGGCAAGAGAGCCACUGCAGGGGAGCAGAAUUUCUACUCUUUUUCAAUGUCUGCUUUUCAGUAUUUAUAUAAUGCUGUUAGCAUAGUUCAUCCCAUUUAAACAUUCUUUAUGGAUAAAUGCUGGAACUUCCUUCCUGCAGACUAUGCCGGGCCUCGUUUUAGACUUUAUGUCACAUUAGUUGGAGAGACCCUCUGAGAUGUUCUAGCAUUCCUGCUGCAGAGUGUAGCUUGUGUUGAGUCACAUAUUCACAACUGUCAAUUGCUGUGGCUUAGAUUUUGCUUAUUGGAGGAGAUCUGAGGAAGGUGAUGGUGACAGUGGGUGGGGAAGAGGAGAGUUAUCCCAAAUCAUUUGUCAGUGUUGAAUUUGUCUCACAGGAUACUGAAAUAAAGUUUGGAGGAAAAAUUAAUGGACUGGUGAG
rnacentral:lncRNA from 1 species